CAACGCUUUGUUUACGGAAGUAACAAUGGGCGCGCGGUUUACGAAUCUAUUUUUAGUUAUUCAGAGCUGACAGCCUUGUCAGAAGAUUAUAACAAAAUGAAGUAAACAAACAAACAAAAAUUAUUAUUAAGUUAAAAAAGGGAACAGUAACGGCCUUUAGCGUAGUGUUGACUGCAGCUUCCGGCGAGAAAUCUGUGGAUGUGGAGUCAGGAAAGAGAGACGCGUCUCAGAGCCAGGUUUGCAGCGGAGAGAUUAAACGACGCCUCGGAGGUUGGAGGAGAAGAAUGUGUGUUUGCAUGAAGGAUCGAUGGCUAAUCCCAAACUUAAUCUGGUGUCUGUGCUUUACAUCGUAUCUGUCCUCACUCUCUGCUGCCAGCUGAGGGGAACAAGAUCGUUUGUGUCUGACAAAAAGCCGCGGUGAUUCAGGAGCUGAUGCUCCUGCUGGAGCCGAGGAAGACCAAGAGGAAGGCUUAUCUCAGACUGGAAAACAUCUACAGAAACAAAAACAGACGCAGCUGCUGGGAGGGAUAAUGACUUAAAAAGUUUCACUCAAACUGUUGGAAAGGCUGGAUGCUCUUCAGCUUAACUGCACUGACAGAGAAAGGCAGCUGUUGAUGUUGAAUUAUGAUUUUCUUUUGUUGAAAUCAGAUUUUUUUUAAUCCUGCAGGAUCAGAAUUAGACCAGGAAAUUAUUUGAACUAGAUGCAGAUCUUCAACUUCUAUUUUGUAGAAACUAAAACAUCAAAACACACAGCUAUAGCUACUGGUGGGACAAGAUUAAGAUUUUUAAUUGGAGGGUCUGUAAUUAAUUGAAAACUACAUCGACAAAAUGGGCAACAUUCUGAAUUCAAAAACCCUCAAACCUGCAGUAUGUAACUUUUAUGAAGAAAAUUAUUUUAUAUAUUUGUUAAAACUGUCAACAAACUGAGUUUGUUAUAAGUCAUAUAAUCUCCUCCACUUUCUCCCUGAGUUGCAUUUCUGCACCGCUCCAUAACAACCAAUCACAUCCAGGAGGCGGUUCUUAAUGCUGUUUAUCAUCCUCAUGUACUCGCUCCUUUGUGGCUAUGCUAAGAAGCCUGAGCAUUCACAACAUGCUAUGCUAGCUGCAGCAUAGCAGAGAGCAAAGGAGGAGGGUGAUUGACAGCGCUAAGACCCGCCUCCUGGCUCUGACUGGUUGUUUCCAGUUAGCACUGGGAGAAGGCAGAGGAGAUAAAUUUUUGUCACCGAUUGUGUUUCAUACUAAACUGUCAAAUAUAAAGACAAUUUUAACAAAAAAUGUUUUACAUAAGUUACAUACUGCAGCUUAACAACAACAUAUGAGCUCCACAGCAUUUAUUGUUUUUAAUUUGUUGUUUAGGUGAUUUAAUCAUCAUAUUAGAGCAAAGUUCAGCUUUCCAGAGGUUCAGGAAGCUCUGGUCAUCCAUGGAGCUUCUUUUGAAACGUGGAUGCUAACAUUAACGUUAGCUGCUGCAUGUUUAGCACUAAGAUGAUGUUUUAGGUUUCACUGAUAUGUUUACUCCUUUUAGCGGGACUCGAACACAACAGUAGUCUUUUUCCAAUCAAAUCAAAUUUUGAAGCAGAUAUUAAUCCCCAGUGAAACUUUCAUCGCUGCUGUUAGCGGAUGCUGCUUGUGCGUCAAAUUUACAGGCGCACAAGAAACGUGCAACAAAGGUUCCACCUCCGGAUUUUUGUAAGUAAAAUACAAAAUGAAUUGUGUUAACAUUUUUAGCACGCAUUACUAUCUAUUUCAUUAAAUUAACUCGUUAAAGUUCCACUCAGGGUUUUGUUGGAGGACUUGAAAUCUUCACUUCAGACUCUAACAUGCAGUUGUGUCACUCAAACUUCUCCUGACAGAAUUAUCUCAGAAAAUCAUUCAGUCUGUCCCUCCUGAGAUCAAAUCCUGAGCCAACGCUCCACUGCUCAGAUUCAUCCUCCCUCUCCUCCAUCAGCGAGGAGGAAUAACUCACCGGCAGCCCGCAGUAAUAUCAGCCUCCCUAUUGAUUACCGGGGUCGGCCUGGGAGAGAUCGACUCCUGCAGAGAUUGGAGGGACGCUCAGAGAGCUGCAGGAGAAAAUGAACCGGAGAAAUUAUCCAGAAAGUCACAUGCCACUUUGUUCCUGGAGCGCUCUUUUAUUAUUAAACGGAAAAAUACAGAUUGAAUCAAGUUUAUGGCAGCGAGAGGGACGGCGGCUGAAAAGCAGAUAACAAAAUGCACAUCCUGACUCCUUCCUCCGACUGGAAGCACAACAGUGGGGAUGUUUUUGGGUUUUAUGGGUUUUCUCCACAUCUUUCUUCUGUUUAACAUGAAGGGGAAAUGUUAAACUUCAUGCUGGUUUUGGGAACCAUCAACCCUUACGUUGCACAGAGUCUUAAUUUCAUUAUUUUAAAUAACAGAUGAAGAAAAAUAUUUUUUGAACUCAUCUCAGCUGCUAUUUCUGAACCUUUUCUGCAGAAUGUUUAUAUUUAAAAUUCUGCGUGAUUUUAAAUAUUUUUAACUUUUUAAUUUUAUUUUGUUUCUAAAUAUAAUGAAAAUCCAAACAAGCUCCAAGACGGCUUCGCAUGCAGCACAUUAAUAUUCUGUCAUAUUAGUCACUUUCUCUUAGAGAAACAAAAAAUGUUUUCUGUUUUUUCCAACCAUAGAAAACAAAUUUAAAGUUUGUCAUAAAAAGCGACAGCUGUUUCUGUCUCCGUCCUUCAGGCGGGGAGCGUCCGUCCUCCAGCUUCACCUUGGUUACAUACGACCUCGCAACACAUCACCGCAAAAUUAAUUAAAUUAGAAAAUAGAUGUUCAUUGGAACAGUGACCUCCACGUUGUAUUUGCACUCAUAAACUUACACACAGGACAAAACACACACUGUUGUUUCUCACCACCUAAAUCAACUGAUGAUGAAUUUGAACCUUUAGAAACUGAAACAUUUUGUUUCUCUGAUCCAACAUUCAGGUUUUUGAUGAAUGAAGUUGGUUUUCCAAAGUUUUUCAGUUUUAUCUGUGGUCGAUAAAUAAUGACAGUGUGGAUUCGUUUUGUUUUUGUCUCUUCAGAUCAGAUUGGAAUCAUUUCUGAAGUUCAUAACCAAAUCUUUCUUGUUAAAACUCAGAAAUUAUGUAUUUUUCCAGAACUGAUGUAGAGGAAAUUUGGCCCAAGAAUUUAACUGGAUGGAUGGAUGGAUGGAUGGAUGGUUGGUUGGCUGGUUGGUUGGAUGGUUGGUUGGAUGUGACAUCUGACCUCAGAAUAAUUUCCCAUCAUGCCAUUUUGCACAUAAACAGUGAAUUUCUCGCUUGCUGAUGUUUUUUUCUGACUCUCUUCCUGUAAUGAAGGUCGUGUAGGUUAAUGACGGCCACAUUAGCCUCAGUAGACCCCGGUUAUUUUCUGACUUCUGCCUGAAAUAACUCGAUAAAAAACAGCUCAACCAGGCUGGACUGGACAAAAGGAAAACUUAAUGGAGGAAUAUUGAUGUUUUCUCUUUGUUUUUUUUCUGCCUCAGUGUAAAAACUCCUCAGUGAAUUUAACCAACAUCAAAAUGAAAAGCAAAUUAUUUCACUCUGCCGCUUCCAAACAGAGUCAGACAGUCCGAGCAGUGAGCUUCAGCGAUGGACCGGACUGUGAAGUGAUUUAUUUUAGGACAGUCACAUCUGAGGUCCAAAUCACACAGAACCCGACGGUUCUGCUGCCAACCUCCGCCGUCUGCUCCGGCUUCGUGACUGGCGUACGAACUAACAACCUGUGUGUGGAAACGCAUACGUCCAGUAAAAGUGUGUGUGCAGCCUACAGUACGGUUAGCAUGGAUUACAGGUGUGUGUGUGUGUGUGUGUGUGUGUGUGUGUGUGUGUGUGCGUUUACAUCUGUUGCGUUUGGCACCAGAUGACAGAAGCGGCUCCUGUCGGUCACACCAGCAGGAAAGUGUCCAGAGAUUCACAAAGAAACGCAGAUUUUACUAAAGACAUGCAAACGCUGGGAAGAAGCAGCAAUAACUGGAUAUUUUUAUCCUGUUCAUGACAUAUUUUACAGUUUAAUAGAAAUUAUCUAACAGGACUAAAAAUAUUCUAAAAGGCAGUGGCGCCCUUAAGUGGGGGAAC